UACGAAGGGUGCAAGCGUUAUCCGGAUUCAUUGGGUUUAAAGGGUGCGUAGGUGGCGCGUUAAGUCCGUUGUGAAAUCCCUUGGCUCAACCAAGGAAUGGCUUCGGAUACUGGCGUGCUUGAGGCCGGUAAGGGUCACUGGAACUGACGGUGGAGCGGUGAAAUGCGUAGAUAUCGUCAGGAACGCCAAUGGUGAAGACAGGUGACUGGGCCGGUUCUGACACUGAGGCACGAAAGCGUGGGGAGCGAACGGG
rnacentral:rRNA from 1 species